CUGCAUCCAGCCUGGGUGACAGAGCAAGAACGUCUUAAAAAAAAAAGAAAAAAAAAUUUUUUUUUUGGUCACUUGCCAUCAUUCAAGGCACUAGCACAGAGGCCUGCAGGAGGGCCCUAAGGGAAGAAAAUCAGAAAAUUCAAACUAAUGGAAAUGUUUUAGGAAAUCACAGGACAGUCUCUGAAAGCAGGAAAGGAUGGAAUCCAAAUUAGGAGCACCUCUUCUAUUAUGACAAGAGGAAGGGCAAAGUGGAUGAGAUUAUAAAGCCUGAAGCCCAGAACCCAACAAAUCCAUCACAAUUGUCCAUCCAGGAGAAUAAAAUAAUGUAACAUUUCCACUUAUGUCUCUAUGAUGGAAACUUGAUGACUACUUACUAACGAACCCCCAAAUUCACUCACCUGUUUUUGGCAAAUGAAUUUUGUGAAUUACAUAUUGCACAGAUACGUAAUAUUUUGCUUUUCUAGGAACACCAUCUGUUUUUAAUGAAAAUUGAGGAAAUAUUUUCUAACUGAAGCAUAUUCUGAGAAAAAUCAGAAUAUACAUUUUCAUAACAUUUUCAGCUUAUUACAUAUUUGACUGUAGAACUAAAAUGUUGCCAAAUAAAGAAAAUGGCAAAGCCAAGUGUGAUGGCAGAAGCCUGCAGUCCCAGCUACUUGGGAAGCUGCAGCAGGACUGCUUGAGCCUAGGAGUUCAAGGAAGCAGUAUGCUAUGAUCGCACCUGUGAACAGCCACCGCACUCCACCCUGGACAACAGAACAAGACCCUAAGUUAAAAAAGGAAAUGAUCACGCUUAUACAUUUUUUCUACUUAAUAGAAAUAACCAUGAAUGAAAUAAGGAAACUUAUAGUUUGAUCAUCCUCAACCAAUGUUUUAAGAGUCUAGUCUAUAAUAAAGAUUGGGACCUAACACUUUUAAACUUUUCUCUAACUCCAAACUCAUAAAUACACAUUGUUAUAUUGAUUUUAAACUUUUCUCUAACUCCAAACUCAUAAAUACACAUUGUUAUAUUGCUUUUAAACUUCAGAUAUAGAGUAUUUGGUCAAGUAGGCUCCUUUAAAAAACAGGGCAACAGAAAAGUUUCUGAAUGUCACUAGACAAUUAAACUUUUAUUGAAGCGUAAAUUGUGGUACAGAAAUACAUUUCAACUGAUUUAAGUCCAACACCAGUGAAAGGAGAAAUUAUGGCACCAAAACUUUCCCUCUUCUAUCAAACCAUGAUUUAGAUUAUGAUUCAAUCUACAUUUCUCUUUUCUAGGCUUUGUCCCAUACAAAUUUGUGCAGUUUUUCAACAUUAGAAUUCUUAAUUCUAUUAGGAAAAAAAACAAAACAAACAAAAAAAAACCCACAGACCUCAAGUCAACAAAUCUAUUGGGAUACUGUUUACGAACAAAGUCCACCUUAAGCAUUGGUCCUUAAAACAGAGCUCCUCAAAAUAUUAGGUGCUGUGCUCAUUACAGAAUCAAACUUACACACUGACUGAAAACUUCAAUGAAAUUUUCAAUCAACAACAUGCUUCAAAUAAAAGUCAAACAGUGUUCCAACCACUUGAUUUCAAACCAAGUAGAUUUUAGGUUUAGAAACACUAAAAAAAGGUGUUUCAUUUAUAAAUACGGAAGGAACAAAAACAUCACUGCAUCAAUCCAGAAAUUAUCAAAAUAUUUAGAGGACAAGAAAUAUAAAAUUUAGUCAACUUUGCCGUUUUCUCAGUUCCUUAAAAUCCCAGAGUAUCUGCAAAUAUAGCUAAAAGGUACCAACUCUUGAAAGCCUAUAUUACUAGUCAUUUCUCAUUGAGUAUUUUGGAAUUUUAUUUAUGUUCUACUUAUUUAUUCAUGUAUUCUACUUUAUGAUGUUUAUCUGAAUAAUCUGGACAAAUUCUCAUUCUGGGCAGUCAUUCAUUUCAUCCUAUGAAUGCCAUGGUGAGGGAAACACCGUAGGUUAGAGGUACAGAUGAAGUCAGAACACACAUGCAUCACAGUCACAGAACUUUAAGUCACAAGAUGGAAAAGACAUUGAUUCUGCUUUGGAUCAAAGUUUAUAGAACACUACUUAAUGGAAACUAGUGGAAAUGGCUGCUAAAGGAAAAGUUAAGGUGAAUGAUCCAAGCUGACUUGAUUUACUGAAUCCAGAACAAAAUUAUGCUAAAUCUCUCUGGUAAUUAACUAA